rnacentral:rRNA from 1 species
AGCACAGGUUUACCUGUGUGACUGCGUACCUUUUGUAUAAUGGGUCAGCGACUUAUAUUCUGUAGCAAGGUUAACCGAAUAGGGGAGCCGGAGGGAAACCGAGUCUUAAUUGGGCGUUAAGUUGCAGGGUAUAGACCCGAAACCCGGUGAUCUAGCCAUGGGCAGGUUGAAGGUUGGGUAACACUAACUGGAGGACCGAACCGACUAAUGUUGAAAAAUUAGCGGAUGACCUGUGGCUGGGGGUGAAAGGCCAAUCAAACCGGGAGAUAGCUGGUUCUCCCCGAAAGCUAUUUAGGUAGCGCCUCGUGAAUUCAUCUCCGGGGGUAGAGCACUGUUUCGGCUAGGGGGCCAUCCCGGCUUACCAACCCGAUGCAAACUGCGAAUACCGGAGAAUGUUAUCACGGGAGACACACGGCGGGUGCUAACGUCCGUCGUGAAGAGGGAAACAACCCAGACCGCCAGCUAAGGUCCCAAAGUCAUGGUUAAGUGGGAAACGAUGUGGGAAGGCCCAGACAGCCAGGAUGUUGGCUUAGAAGCAGCCAUCAUUUAAAGAAAGCGUAAUAGCUCACUGGUCGAGUCGGCCUGCGCGGAAGAUGUAACGGGGCUAAACCAUGCACCGAAGCUGCGGCAGCGACACUGUGUGUUGUUGGGUAGGGGAGCGUUCUGUAAGCCUGCGAAGGUGGCCUGUGAGGGUUGCUGGAGGUAUCAGAAGUGCGAAUGCUGACAUAAGUAACGAUAAAGCGGGUGAAAAGCCCGCUCGCCGGAAGACCAAGGGUUCCUGUCCAACGUUAAUCGGGGCAGGGUGAGUCGACCCCUAAGGCGAGGCCGAAAGGCGUAGUCGAUGGGAAACGGGUUAAUAUUCCCGUACUUGGUGUUACUGCGAAGGGGGGACGGAGAAGGCUAUGUUGGCCGGGCGACGGUUGUCCCGGUUUAAGCGUGUAGGUGUGUGUUCCAGGUAAAUCCGGUUCACUUUAACACUGAGGCGUGACGACGAGGCACUACGGUGCUGAAGCAACAAAUGCCCUGCUUCCAGGAAAAGCCUCUAAGCAUCAGGUAACAUCAAAUCGUACCCCAAACCGACACAGGUGGUCAGGUAGAGAAUACCAAGGCGCUUGAGAGAACUCGGGUGAAGGAACUAGGCAAAAUGGUGCCGUAACUUCGGGAGAAGGCACGCUGACACGUAGGUGAAGUGAUUUACUCAUGGAGCUGAAGUCAGUCGAAGAUACCAGCUGGCUGCAACUGUUUAUUAAAAACACAGCACUGUGCAAACACGAAAGUGGACGUAUACGGUGUGACGCCUGCCCGGUGCCGGAAGGUUAAUUGAUGGGGUCAGCGCAAGCGAAGCUCCUGAUCGAAGCCCCGGUAAACGGCGGCCGUAACUAUAACGGUCCUAAGGUAGCGAAAUUCCUUGUCGGGUAAGUUCCGACCUGCACGAAUGGCGUAAUGAUGGCCAGGCUGUCUCCACCCGAGACUCAGUGAAAUUGAACUCGCUGUGAAGAUGCAGUGUACCCGCGGCAAGACGGAAAGACCCCGUGAACCUUUACUAUAGCUUGACACUGAACAUUGAGCCUUGAUGUGUAGGAUAGGUGGGAGGCUUUGAAGUGUGGACGCCAGUCUGCAUGGAGCCGACCUUGAAAUACCACCCUUUAAUGUUUGAUGUUCUAACGUGGACCCGUUACCCGGGUUGCGGACAGUGUCUGGUGGGUAGUUUGACUGGGGCGGUCUCCUCCUAAAGAGUAACGGAGGAGCACGAAGGUUGGCUAAUCCUGGUCGGACAUCAGGAGGUUAGUGCAAUGGCAUAAGCCAGCUUGACUGCGAGCGUGACGGCGCGAGCAGGUGCGAAAGCAGGUCAUAGUGAUCCGGUGGUUCUGAAUGGAAGGGCCAUCGCUCAACGGAUAAAAGGUACUCCGGGGAUAACAGGCUGAUACCGCCCAAGAGUUCAUAUCGACGGCGGUGUUUGGCACCUCGAUGUCGGCUCAUCACAUCCUGGGGCUGAAGUAGGUCCCAAGGGUAUGGCUGUUCGCCAUUUAAAGUGGUACGCGAGCUGGGUUUAGAACGUCGUGAGACAGUUCGGUCCCUAUCUGCCGUGGGCGCUGGAGAACUGAGGGGGGCUGCUCCUAGUACGAGAGGACCGGAGUGGACGCAUCACUGGUGUUCGGGUUGUCAUGCCAAUGGCACUGCCCGGUAGCUAAAUGCGGAAGAGAUAAGUGCUGAAAGCAUCUAAGCACGAAACUUGCCCCGAG